GAUGAACGCUGGCGGCGUGCCUAAUACAUGCAAGUCGAGCGAACGGACGAGAAGCUUGCUUCUCUGACGUUAGCGGCGGACGGGUGAGUAACACGUGUAUAACCUACCUAUAAGACUGGGAUAACUUCGGGAAACCGGCGCUAAUACCGGAUAAUAUUUUGAACCGUAUGGUUCAAAAGUGAAAGACGGUCUUGCUGUCACUUAUAGAUGGAUCCGCGCUGCAUCAGCUAGUUGGUAAGGUAACGGCUUACCAAGGCAACGAUGCAUAGCCGACCUGAGGGAGUGGUCGGCCACACUGGAACUUAGACACGGUCCAGACUCCUACGGGAGGCAGCAGUAGGGAAUCUUCCUCAAUGGGCGAGAGCCUGACGGAGCAACGCCGCGUGAGUGAUGAAGGUCUUCGGAUCGUAAAACUCUGUUAUUAGGGAAGAACAUAUGUGUAAGUAGCUGUGCACAUCUUGACGGUACCUGAUCAGAAAGCCACGGCUAACUACGUG
rnacentral:rRNA from 1 species